GAGUGUAUAGCUUAGUGGUAAAGUACAUGCCUAGCAUGCAUGAGGUCCUGGGUUCAAUCCCCAGUACACCCG
rnacentral:tRNA from 1 species